ACUUGUUGCUUCCAACAAGUAACCCAAUUUUUCUCUUAUACCACGUGUAGGGUUCAAAUUCGAUAUGUUUCUUCCUCCACCAUCACCUCCCUAAAUAUAUACUUGUCACGUUCAACAAGUAACUCAAUUUUGCUCCUAUGCUACACUGCGUAUAUGAUUCCAUUCUAUUUGUUUUCUCCUCCAUCAUCACGAUAAUCACCUCCCUGUAUAUAUACUUGCUACGAACAAGCAACUCAAUUUUGCUUUUAUACUACACAUAUAAUUCAAAUUCGAUGUGUUUCCUCCUCCACCAACACGACAAUCGCCUCCCUAAAUAUAUACUUGUUGUUACCAACAAGUAGCUCAAUUUUACUCUUAUACUACAUAAAUGAUUCAAAUUUGAUAUGUUUCCUCCUCCAUCAUCAUGAUCAUCAUCUCCCUAAAUAUAUACUUGUCGCUUCCAACAAGUAGCUCAAAUUUGCUCCUAUACUACGUAUAUGAUUCAAAUUCAAUCUGUUUCCUCCUCCGUCAUCAAGAUCAUCACCUCCCUAGCUAAUUAUAUACUUGUUGCUUCAAACAAGGAACCUAGUUUUUCUGUUAUACCAUGUGUAGGAUUCGAAUUUGAUAUGUUUCUUCCUCCACCAUCACCUCCCUAAAUAUAUACUUGUCGCGUACAACAAGUAACUCAAUUUUUCUCCUAUACUACAUAUAUGAUUUAAAUUCGAUAUGUUUUCUCCUCCACCAUCACGACCAUCACCUCACUAAAUAUAUACUUGUCGCUUCCAACAAGUAACUCAAUUUUGCUCUUAUACUAUGUAUAUAAUUCAAAUUCGAUCUGUUUCCUCUACCAUCACGACCAUCACCUCCUUAAAUAUAUAAUUGUCGCUUCCACAAGUAACUCAAUUUUUAUCUUAUACUACGCAUAUAAUUCAAAUUCGAUCUGUUUCCUCCUCCACUAUCACGACCAUCACCUCCCUAAAUAUAUACUUGUCGCUUCCAAAAAGUAAAUCAAUUUUUCUCUUAUACUACUUAUAUGAUUAAAAUUCAAUCUGUUUCCUCCUCCACUAUCACGACCAUCACCUCCCUAAAUAUAUACUUGUCGCUUCCAAAAAGUAAAUCAAUUUUUCUCUUAUACUACUUAUAUGAUUAAAAUUCAAUCUGUUUCCUCCUCCACAUCACGACCAUCACCUCCCUAAGUAUAUAUUUGUCGUUUUCAACAAGUAACUCAAGACUACGUAUAUGAUUCAAAUUCGAUCUGUUUCCUCCACCACCAUCAUGACAAUCACUUCCCUAAAUAUAUACUUGUCGUUACAAACAAGUAGCACAAUUUUGAUCCUAUACAACGUACAUAAUUCAAAUUCGAUUUGUUUCUUCCACCAUCAGAACUAUCACCUCCCUAAAUAUAUACAAUUAAUGUGCAGGUAAUCUCUCUUUGGUUCCUAAGAAGAUACAAGCGAUGGCAUUACGAGACUUGUCCACUGAUGUUGCAGAGAUGAAAGGGAAAUUAUUUCGACUUCAAGAUAUGACUACUUGUGGGAAAUAAUGCAAGGUGAAGUAUCCUUGGAGUGCGCAGAUUGUAAUUACUUCGCGCAAAGGAUGGAUGUAACUACUAUUAUAGGCUUGAUAUGCCUUUGUGUAUAUUCAAGCAUUUUAAAUAAUGUUGCGUUUCCAAGUUUGUAUAAUAAGAAAAUAAAUAUGUAACCUAGCUAGUUUUCCAUAUAUUGGGAAACUAGGGAGAUUUUCCAUUUACUGGGAAACUAGGGAGAGUUUGCAAAAUAGACACUUUCAAAACUUA